UGUGUUUCAAUGCCACAUCUCAGUUAUUCAUACGUUUCUGUGCUUACUUUUUAGAUUGCUUCCAUGGUAUUCUAUUUUUACUGUAACAGCGAGGGGGAAAAAAUCUUGCAAAAACUGAAGUAUGCUGUGUGAGGGUUUCCUUGAACAGGAUAUAAUGCCAAACUAGGACUGGAGUGUCUUACAUGCAGGGAAUUAUGUGUGAGUCUGAACGUUUAAAAUAGCCAGACCCAGGGAGAGUAAGUUUGUCUACAUUUUAUUUUCUUCAGCUGUCUCUGAUGAGGAUUAAUGAAUGAAUGAUCAUGAAAUGCUUUAAAAUCCUACAAAAGCACACUAAGAGCAGACAUUUACUUAACUAUUGUGAGCAAACGGUAAUGUUUAAAGCUUACCUGGAAUUUCACUCUAGCUAUAGAUGGAUGAGUCAUUGUCACAGAAAAUGUAAGAGUUUCAAUUAAGAAACAGAACAACAUUAGAGAAACUAAAUCAAAUACCUGAUGACUGCAAAGGAAAAGUAUCUUUGUGGUAAAUGAGCUUUGUAAAACUGUUUGCCCAGACUAACUCUGAGAAUUUUUCUGCAAAGAUGGUUUAUUUUCCACAGGGCUUUACAAAAACAAAACCCCUCCACAACAUCAGCCAGCCAUAAAAAUGGCAAAUAUAAAUAAUUGUAUCUAUAUUACAGAGCUCUGCAACUGUAUUUACAAAUCUAAUUCUUCACAGGUCUUUUGCAGACAUAAAACAUUUUCAAGCAUGUCUAUGUGCUAAACCAGAGUAGCACAAGUCUUUAACUUUUUUUUCUCUGCAUUAAAAAAUCCCACUUUUCCAACAGUAUUGUUUUCACUGCCUGAACACUUGAACUUGUUCCAAACUUGCCUGCCUUAUAAACAGAAAAUUUUCAGACCUGCCCACUGCAAACACACACACCUGUGUAUUGAAGUGCACAUUUCCCACUCAGGGAGCUGCAAACACACCUUGCUCACACACAGCUUGAGAUGUGAGCAUAUGCAUGCAUAGUAAGUAUAUGCUUGUUUGGGCAGAACUAAAGUGAUAUAAACCAAAGUGUCUGGAAAAUAUUAAGGGCAAAAAGAACUUUUCUCCACAUAAAGUGAUGCAUUUUAUAACAACAACCAUACUAGUGAAACAGUGCAUAAUCUUCCUGUGACAUUUAACUCUAUGAUCCAGAUGCUUCCUAGUCUACCAACAUUUAGGAUUUCUUUUCUAAUAGGAAGUUAGAAAAGAAAAUUAACCAGGAAUCCAUGAAAUUAAGAAAUUUGCUCUAAUUUCUGCUGUCAAGAGAACUGUUGAUACUUUUUUGGGAUGUCUUUGGCAUUCCUUCCCCUUGAUCUCACAACAUUCUACAGAAGCAAACCACACAGCAGCUAGGAUCGAGAUGGGAAUACACUGCCAGGUAUUAAUUAACAGCCUGGGAACAAUUAGGAUGUGCCAAUCAGUACAGAAACACACCACCAUGAACUUCGAUACCCGUGGGGCACUGCCAGCUUCACCAGAAUCACAUAACAUCCUGAGCUGGAAGAGGCUCAUGGAGCCCAUCCCUUACGCGAGGAUCGAACCCAGGAGCUGUGCCAGGUUCACCUUGCUCUUAAUCCAUGUGAAGAUCUGUUGGAAACACCUUCUAGAAACCCAAGAGUUUUCAGUCUAAUAAAUUCUGCUGUGUCCAAGAACAGCCUGUCCAAAUGAGCAAGACAUCCCAACAGAACAGCACCACAGAUGCGAGCGGAGUAAGUGUGAUUCACACCCAAGCACACUCCAGUGGUUUGCAGCAGGUUCCCCAGCUGGUGCCAGUUAGUCCUGGUGGUGGAGGCAAAGCUGUGCCUCCGAGCAAACAGGGGAAGAAAAAUUCCUUUGUGGAUAGAAACAGUGAUGAGUAUCGCCAGCGCAGAGAGCGAAACAACAUGGCAGUGAAAAAGAGCCGCUUAAAAAGCAAGCAGAAAGCACAAGACACACUGCAAAGGGUCAACCAGCUUAAAGAAGAAAAUGAACGUUUAGAGGCAAAAAUUAAACUCCUGACCAAGGAGCUGAGCGUACUGAAAGACUUGUUCCUUGAGCAUGCCCACAGUUUUGCAGAUAACGUGCAACCUGUUGGCACUGAGACCACCACAACAAAUCCAGAGAACAGUGGGCAGUAGACACCUGCGACCUUAUGAAACAGACUCUUGAGGUGCAGCUUGUCUGCAGUGCCCAUGCAGUAACCAAGCAAAGACUGUACCUUUAGUCACUGUUUUGUGGAGAUUUUCUUCUUUAAGAUUUAACACUGAAGAUUUGUAACAAUUAAACCAGAAACUGGUUAGGGUAUUUGUUUUCAAUAUUUUUCUUCUUAAAGAUUUAUGCAGAUCUGAACUCAUAGCCAACGAGGAAUGUAAUAUUUAGGAGAUAAUAAUAUUUUCACAGGAAUAUUCACUUACCAUUUUAGACUUUGCAUAAUGGGAGGAAUCCAGCAGAAUGGCUCACUGUAGUAUCAGAAACUUGUAAUUGGAUAGAAUGUCUUUUAAAUACCUGUUAGUGUAUUUUAGCCCUUGGUUUUCUCCAUGACAUAUUACAAACUGCAAAGGCUGUGGAGAAUUUUUGCUUUUUAAUCUGUAGAACAAGUCCUAUGAAGCACCAAGUAGGUUCCUCCUGUCCAGGUAUAGUUAAUGGGGAGGUUGUAGUAAUAGUGAGGUGGGAUGCUUACCAGUGUUCACCAGAAUAAUAACAAUAUGCUCUGAUAUGUACAGGCAGGUGGCCUCCAAAUGGCACAGGAAGCAUCAUGUACAAGAGGCAAAGCAGCACACUGACAAAGCUUUUUAUUUAAGCUUGUAUUCAUAUUGCUCACAUAGUGACUGGGGCCUUAUGAGAACAAGAGUUUGUUUCCAGAAAGUUUUGAAAUGCUUCCAAAAAACUGUGCCCUGCAAAAUUGCAUUCUUGCUGGGAAGGAGGUAUUGGGGAGAACAAGAAGUGCAGCUUGGCUUAGCAGUGAAAGGGGCAGGACAGCAGGUGUUCAGCUGAGAUGUAUGGAUCACUGCUGGCUGACAUUAAUCUUACAGAAAUUUACAGUGAUUUUAAAAAUAAAUGGCCCUAGUAUGAAAAAUGGAUUUGGUGGAAUUUCUACAGCCAUCGUACAGCUGUGUGAAGGAGUAUCUUUAGUUGUGUUUUAUUUCCAUAGAAAUUUUUCUGUAGCAACUUUUUUAUUGCUACUGCUUAGUCCUUGCCAUGAUCCAUAAUGCAGUGCUAUGUGCUAUGUUGAGGAUUUAAACAAAGUAAAGCAGGAACUUUGAUGUAACUUUAAUUUAUUUUCAUUUUAAAAUAUUUCAUUGAUGGUAUGGUUAUUUUACAUUUAACCUGUGUGUCUGUCUUGUAGAUUACUACACUGUCUUAAUUUCCCUCUUACACUACCUUUGUCCAUAGAUUAUUUUGGAGGAUGCUUGUUUGCUUUGUAUUUGUACUUAGGAAAAAACUUGGAUGUUAUCUCUAUGAAGAUAUUGUUAGAGAAUGAAACCUUGAAAAGUUCUUUUUUGAAUUUAAACUUUUAAUACAUUUGGAUAACUUUAAUGGAUUGUUUUGGAUUGUGUUAGACUUUUUACAGAUAUGUUUUUUCAUUCUAACUGCGUCUGAAGUUGGUAGGGUUGAAAUACCAGAAGCUAAUAAAAAUGUUUUGCUUGUA